AUGCCUCUCUCGGCCUUACGGCUAAGAUCAAGUGUAAUAUUUGUUCUUAUCAGUAUGAUUUCCCACAUGAGAUUAAAUUGAUUUUUGUAGGGAAGGGCCGGCCAUUGUAGCUUGCUUAUUGGGUCUGACGAGCGUUGCCCGUGCGCUGCACUACUGCAAGGGCCCGGCGCACCCCGG
rnacentral:snRNA from 1 species